ensembl:lncRNA
AAACAAGAGGAUGAACACUACCUCGCCUCACCUGGGCAUAAUAUUUCAGUGUGGAGUCGAUUGAUGGGACUAUGUUUCAUGAAGCCAUUAGAAGACUGUUGCUGACUGAGAGGAGGUGGAUUUCUUCCAAAGCGGAGGACAGAGGGGGCCGAGUCUGUGAAUGAAGAGAGAGCCUGGAACGUGUUUGUCGGGAGAGUUCAACUGCGGAGCUUUGGGUUCAAAUCGAAUGACAUCGGGAAAUCAGAGCCUUGUGUUACAUGGAGGAAUUAGAUCUCUGUGUUUUAUGUUAUUCUUGUCGAGGCUUUGCUUAAUACUCGUGGGGCAUUGCAUGCCGUCAGACACCUUGUGAGGCACUUACAGUGCCUUCAGAAAGUAUUCAUACCCGUUGACUUAUUUCAUAUUGUGUUACAGCCUAAAUUCAAAAUGGAUGAAAAAAAAAAUUCUCACCCAUCUUCACACAAUACCCUGUAAUAACAAAGUGAAAACAUGUUUUUAGACAUUUUUGCAAAUGUAUUGAAAAUGAAAUACAUAAAUUAGUGUGCACACCCCUGAGUCAAUGUGUCACACCCUGACCAUAGUUUGCUUUGUAUGUUCUAUGUUUUGUUUGGUCAGGGUGUGAUCUGAGUGGGCAUUCUAUGUUGUGUG